rnacentral:rRNA from 1 species
CGCGUAGGCGGUCUCUUAAGUCAGAUGUGAAAGCCCGGGGCUUAACCUCGGAAGUGCAUUUGAAACUAAGGGACUUGAGUAUGGGAGAGGGAAGUGGAAUUCCUGGUGUAGCGGUGAGAUGCGUAGAUAUCAGGAGGAACACCGGUGGCGAAGGCGACUUCCUGGACCAAUACUGACGCUGAGGCGCGAAGGCGUGGGGAGCAAACAGGGUUAGAUACCCUGGUAGUCC